CCUACGGGAGGCAGCAGUGGGGAAUAUUGGACAAUGGGGGGAACCCUGAUCCAGCCAUGCCGCGUGUGUGAAGAAGGCCCUCGGGUUGUAAAGCACUUUCAGUGAGGAAGAACGCCUGGUGGUUAAUACCCAUCAGGAAAUACAUCACUCACAGAAGAAGCACCGGCUAACUCCGUGCCAGCAGCCGCGGUAAUACGGAGGGUGCGAGCGUUAAUCGGAAUUACUGGGCGUAAAGCGCGCGUAGGUGGCUUGAUAAGCCGGUUGUGAAAGCCCCGGGCUCAACCUGGGAACGGCAUCCGGAACUGUCCAGCUAGAGUGCAGGAGAGGAAGGUAGAAUUCCCGGUGUAGCGGUGAAAUGCGUAGAGAUCGGGAGGAAUACCAGUGGCGAAGGCGGCCUUCUGGACUGACACUGACACUGAGGUGCGAAAGCGUGGGUAGCAAACAGGAUUAGAUACCCUAGUAGUC
rnacentral:rRNA from 1 species